CUCUGAACCAAUAGGCGCUGCCCGCCUCUACGGGGGCGUUCACGGUGACUGCCGCUCCGCGCUGUGAUUGGUCUCUAGUGCUGUCACUCUUUUUACAUAAGGAUAUCACCGCGUUCACGUGGAAACCCACGGCUUCCUCCGGCGUGAGAGAGGCGAGAGCAAAUCACUACGACGCAGCUGCCGGUGAAUGAAGCGGUGCCGAUGGUUGGCUCACAGCGGCUCAACAUCCUUCACACCAAACUCACCCAGCUCACUGUCCCAGCCCCCACCUGUCAGUGGAUCACAAACUUCCUGACAGACCGAAGGCAGCAGGUGAAGCAGUGGGAACAUCACAUCCAGCACCCGAACAAUCAGCACUGGCGCCCCCCAGGGGUUGGUGCUCUCCCCACUGUUCUUCUCCCUCCACACCAACGACUGCACCUCAGGAGACCCGUCUGUCCAACUCCUGAAGUUUGCACAACUAUUAAGCCUACAGGGGAGUGUCUGUUACUAAAAAGUCAGUUUUUGGGUGGAAUAUCAUUUAAUGAUGCACAUCAAUGACAACUUCUGCAACUUGCAUUCCUGUGUGAUAACUCUGCAUCAAUAACCAACAGUGCUCUAUGAAAGAAACUCAACAACCACAAUUAACCAGCUAUUCUGGACUGUGUGAGGAAACAGGAGCAUCUGAAGGAAACCCACAGCGACACAGGGAGACACAUGCAAACCACCUUUCCACACAGAAAGGUCUGUCUGACUGGCUGGAUUCAAAUCCAGGAGACAUUUCUAACCACUGAGCCACCAUGCAGCCUUCCCUCAUAUUCUUCCAUGCUAUAUAAAUAACUUUAUACAGCACUUUUCAAAGUACUACAAAGUGUUUCGCAGACACAAAAGAAGAUUUAACUGUACAUAUGCUAUAGGAAGUAUAAAGCAUGACCCAAAAAGUGUAUCUCACCUUCAACCAGUCACUUAUUUCCAUCCUGUCACACAAGAAAUUAACAUAUCUCUCACACUAUACUGACCUCCGUUCACACAUUUAGAGAGCUGCUGUGACACUGUCUUACCAUCUGCUCUGUGCAGAGACGCCUUGCAUCAACUGAACGACAAGACGGUGAUUAAUGGAAAAGAGUCAGCUGUAAGAAAUUAUCACAAGAUGCAAAUUUUUUUAUUGGCAUUGCCCUGUAAAUGUGACGACUUGCCGUGCUGUUAUAACUGGAGAAAAGCCACAGAGAAAGUUCUGAACAUAUAUGAUUUGUAUGGGGCAGUAAAAUAAUAAUAGAACCACUUCAUGUCAGAAAAUAAUAACCUGCAGCGCUUGUAAUAGUUUUUGGCAUUUUAGUAUUAAAAAACUGUGAUUCUUAACCACUCAAAAUAAGCUGUAUUCACAAAAAAUAAGCAAAUAAAAAAUGUAAAAAUAA